CCCAGGCGCGUGCACCUUCUCAACCCUAGCCGCCUCCCCACCUCAGCCCCCCCGGUCCCCGGCGGCUCCCCGCUCGUCCUCACCCCCUCCCUCUCUUUCUCUCUCCCCCCGCCGCCACCGUCGACCCCCACGGCUGGUUCGCCGCCUUCCUCCUCUUCGCCAUCGACGUGGACGUUGGCGUGCGCGCGCGGGCGGCAGAGCUUGCUGUCCGGCUGCGUGGCGCGCCCGUGUUGUACUGCCUGAAGAGCUCUAUCCGGAGGAGUACGAGGAGACGCGUGAUCCGCCGGCGCCGUCUUCCCUCUUCCCUCUUUCCAUCCCUCCUGCUCGCCAGCGGCUCCUCCUCCCCUGCCUCCUCACGUCGCCCUCAGGUCCGAGGCAACGAGUUUGCUUCCUCUGCUCCGUUCAUGUCAUUGAGCUUUUUCCUUGGCCAUAGCACCACAUUUGCGGCCGCACACCAGAGUCAAUUUGGUUGACUAGCAACAGAGCAAAGAGUAAAAUCAGAUCUUCACCUAUAGAGGAGGUAGAUACUGACGGAGUGUAUAUGACCAGGUGUCCUCCAGGUUCUGCAUCAUCAGUGUGUACCUCUAGAUUCUGCAUCAUUAGUGAGCAACUUACCUAAGGGGAGGCAUUGUUUCAGACACAUGAGAACCUGGAACACCUAGCAAUGAUGGAGAGGGUUUUGGGACCCGUACCAGAGCACAUGAUACGGGAGGCUAGUUUAUCAGCUCAGAAAUAUUUUAGGCGAGGGACACGUCUAAAUUGGCCUGAAGGUGCUGUUACAAGAGAAAGCAUCAGAGCAGUCAGGAAACUACACCGGCUAAAGCAAAUCACCCUGCCCUACGAACGACCAUCGCAAGCUGUUCACUUAACCUUCCAAAGCCAAGGUUCCUGUGUCGGCUUCUGUCGAUACUAGAGAAAGUGCUUCAGCUGAAGAUGCUAUUGACCUAUAUCCAAGGCAGAUGAAACUAAGCUGGAUGGUGAGAACGCUGAUGUUGUGGUUACUGGAGAUGAGAAGAACGUGCAGUCUGACCAAACCUAGCCUAAGAGCAACCGAGCCCAAUCAACAAUUAGUAGAAGUAGUUAUGAGAUGAGGCAGAGGAGAGCAGAGAGGACCGGAGAAGGAGUUGCGGACCUCACCAACAAGGCCGUGACCCUGCAUCACUAAAAAAAUGCCCCGUAUUUGUUUCUCAUGCUUGGGUGAUGGCUGACCAUGGCAUGUUCUUAUUAGUUCAGGUUGGUCUCUCCGGUUCUUUUCGCCGAUGGCUUGAUGUAUGCACUGGCAACCUCUUACUGGAAGGAUUCGGCAUGCCUCUGUUCGAGAGAUGGGAUAUGAAGAAAUGGCGUUCUGGUAUUUUAUAUCAUUUGAAGCAAUGACACUUUAUUUUGGUUCACAUUUCUUUACAGGUUGUUGUAUGCAGAGUUUAUGAGGUUGCACUGCACCAUCAAACUAUGCUCCAUGUUAAGCAACAUCCAGAACUGCCAUUAUAUAUUUAAUGUAGUAGAUUGAUGCAACUUUGUAACCAUUCAUGGAUUUAAAAUAGGCUUUAUACCUCUUUAUUUUGGUCGGCAUGUUUUGGCACGUGUCUUUGUCAUUGAUCGGCUAUAUAUUAAUUACAUUUGAGUAGACUGUUGACUGAGAAAGCCUGAACAUGUUGUGUUUUGAUUUAUGAGGACUAAUAGAUAGUUUUCUCUCGGGUUUA